CCUACGGGAGGCAGCAGUGGGGAAUAUUGCACAAUGGGGGAAACCCUGAUGCAGCGACGCCGCGUGAGUGAAGAAGUAUCUCGGUACGUAAAGCUCUAUCAGCAGGGAAGAAAAUGACGGUAUCUGACUAAGAAGCCCCGGCUAACUAAGUGCCAGCAGCCGCGGUAAUACGUAGGGGGCAAGCGUUAUCCGGAUUUACUGGGUGUAAAGGGAGCGUAGACGGCAGAACAAGUCUGGAGUGAAAUCCCGGGGCUUAACCCCGGAACUGCCUUGGAAACUGGGUGGCUGGAGUGCAGGAGGGGUAAGCGGAAUUCCGAGUGUAGCGGUGAAAUGCGUAGAUAUUAGGAGGAAAACCGGUGGCGAAGGCGGCUUACUGGACUGUAACUGACGUUGAGGCUCGAAAGCGUGGGGAGCAAACAGGAUUAGAUACCCGAGUAGUC
rnacentral:rRNA from 1 species